CCUACGGGAGGCAGCAGUGGGGAAUAUUGGACAAUGGGCGAAAGCCUGAUCCAGCCAUGCCGCGUGUGUGAAGAAGGCCUUCGGGUUGUAAAGCACUUUCAGUGGGGAAGAAAGCCUUGGGGCUAAUACCCUCGAGGAAGGACAUCACCCACAGAAGAAGCACCGGCUAACUCCGUGCCAGCAGCCGCGGUAAUACGGAGGGUGCGAGCGUUAAUCGGAAUUACUGGGCGUAAAGCGCGCGUAGGCGGUCUGAUAAGCCGGUUGUGAAAGCCCCGGGCUCAACCUGGGAACGGCAUCCGGAACUGUCAGGCUAGAGUGCAGGAGAGGAAGGUAGAAUUCCCGGUGUAGCGGUGAAAUGCGUAGAGAUCGUGAGGAAUACCAGUGGCGAAGGCGGCCUUCUGGACUGACACUGACGCUGAGGUGCGAAAGCGUGGGUAGCAAACAGGAUUAGAUACCCGAGUAGUC
rnacentral:rRNA from 1 species